AUGGCACUAGUGGACGCGCUGUGCGCUUCCAGCGUCGACAAUGCGGCGCUCGUCUACAGCACCUUCAACGCCGCAGGCUUCCUCUUCGACAAUGCCGCGGGUUUCUACGACGGCACCGGCAUUGCCGAUGGCCCGGCGCUUGCGCUGCAGGCGGCCGACAGAGCGCCGGGGCUGUCCGCCGCGGGUGACGUGGCGCCGUGCCUGGAGAAGCAGGCCACGUCGUCGCCCGCGCCGCCGAGGAGGAAGCGGCGUCGGCGGGCGAGGAGCUGCAAGUCGAGGGAGGAGACCGAAUGCCAGCGCAUGACCCACAUCGCCGUGGAGCGCAACCGCCGGCGCCAGAUGAACGAGUACCUCGUCGUGCUCCGCUCCCUCAUGCCAGAGUCCUACGUCCAGAGGGGUGACCAGGCAUCGAUCGUCGGAGGGGCGAUAGAUUUCGUCAAGGAGCUGGAGCAGCAGCUGCAGUCGCUGGAAGCGCAGAAGCGGACGCUGGCUCACUACCAGCAGCACAAGGCAGGAUGCGACGCGACGCCGCUGCCGGCGGCCAUGCCGACGCGCGCCAGCACCAGCGGUGGCAACGCCUGCGUGGAGUCCACGAGCAACUGCAGCAGCAGCGUCACCGAGGCGGACGGCGCGUCCGACGCGCCGCCGUUCGCGGGGUUCUUCACGUACCCGCAGUACGUGUGGCGCCAGUCGCCGCGCGACGCCACGACGCUGUCGGCGGACGAGAGCCGCGCCGGGGUGGCCGACAUCGAGGUGAACCUGGUGGAGACGCACGCCAGCCUCCGCGUCAUGGCGCCGCGGCGGCCCGGCCAGCUGCUCCGCAUGGUCGCCGGCCUGCAGGCGCUCCGUCUCACCGUGCUGCACCUCAACGUCACCGCGCUCGACUCCCUGCUCCUCUACUCCCUCAGCCUCAAGGUGGAGGAGGGAUGCGGCCUGACGACGGCGGACGACAUCGCGGCGGCGGUGCACCAUGUGCUCUGCUUCAUCCACGCGGAGGCGGGGGCGGCGUAG
rnacentral:rRNA from 1 species